GCUCGCCAGCCAAAGGUGAGUGCGGCGCACAGCUCAGUAACACGUGGCUAACCUGCCCUUUGGACGGGGACGCCCCCGGGAAACUGGGGUUAAUCCCCGAUAGGCGAAGAACUCUGGAAUGAAUCUCCACCUAAAAGGCGCUUGCGCUAUGCUCGCAGGUGUCGCCCAAGGAUGGGGCCGCGACCGAUCAGGUUGUUGGUGAGGUAAUGGCUCACCAAGCCUUUUACCGGUGCGGGCCGUGGGAGCGGGAGCCCGGAGAUGGGCACUGAGACAAGGGCCCAGGCCCUACGGGGCGCAGCAGUCGCGAAAACUUUGCAAUACACGAAAGUGUGACAGGGCUAUCCCGAGUGCCAUCCGCUGAGGAAGGCUUUUACCCAGUUUAGAACGCUGGGAGAAUAAGGAGAGGGCAAGACUGGUGUCAGCCGCCGCGGUAAUACCAGCUCUUCGAGUGGUGUGGAUGUUUAUUGGGCCUAAAGCAUCCGUAGCUGGCUGGGCAAGUCCCCUGUUAAAUCCACCGAUUUAAUCGUUGGAGUGCGGGGGAUACUGCUC
rnacentral:rRNA from 1 species